rnacentral:lncRNA from 1 species
GAUGAACAUAGUUUUAUCCAGCUCAUUUGGGUAUUUUUAAAUGUUUUUAAACAGUUCCACAAACUAAAAUAUUGCAUGAUCAGCAUAUGUAUUCAAAAGAACAAAGCUUGUGAGACAACUAUCCACCAAAAUAAAAAGAACAAAUGAUUGUUAGUGAGACAAACUGUUCACAAAAAAAAACCAAGUACACAUGUAAAUGCUGUAGUAUUCUACCUAAGAUUAAAAGAACAAUUCAAAUAAGAACUAUCUGCAAAAAAAUGAAUGGAACAAUAGCAAGGAAACACUAUCCACAAAAAAAUCAAAAGAACAGUAACCAAACUAUCCACCAGCAAAACUAAGGGACAUGCCUAUCUUAGUUCACCAACCAGGAUGGCCUUCAACAAAAGGCAAAGUUCCAAAUUGUAAUAUUAGCCUACAAAACCUGGUAAACUAAAUUUCACAAACAUAAAUUGAAAACCUGACUUUCUCUCUUUGAAGAUAAACCCAAUCUAUCAGUCAUCUUAUUUUGACACUGUGAAAUCUUCAUGUGUAAUAACGUAAUUAAAUUCAUUCAGGCUGUUAUAAUGUUUAAUAGUAUUUGACAAAAUGUUAUGACAAAAAUUGGACACAAGUUCAAACUUUAAUUCAUAUUGAUGGAUGCUUGAGGGGGC